AAUAGCAAGGUAUAGAGGUUAGAAAUCUCCCUCUUUCACCUGUAUAUCAUCCGUCUCCCCCGCUCAUCUCAUCUCAUCUCAACUGGUGGGCUGAGAGUUUCUCUUUUACUCUACUGGCUGAGAAACUCCCCCAUUGCCUUUCUUCACACCUCUGUUCUUUGUCCUUUUUUCCUUUCAUUUCCAUACUUUCCUUCACUUUCCCACCGCCCAAACAUGGUGCUCUCCACAAAACUCCACCGUUUUGACCUUCGUUCAACAUUCUUCACCUCUCCUUGCCCCUCGUUUACUCCCAAUUCCUCCUCUUUAGUCUCCCCCAAAACCUUUAAAUUUAGACCAACUAAAAUAACUGCCCAAGUUUCCACUCUCAGCGUUGAAACCUCCGUUAAGGACCCAGAAAGCGACAUUGAAUCACUGUUUUCCUCCAAUACAGAAGAAAUUGAUCGGAAACGUUUCAACAAGCAAUCCAAUGCCGGUGCUUCGGGUAUUUCCUCCGGUGUAAAGCUUGAAAACAUUAGCAAGAGCUAUAAAGGAGUAACUGUUUCGAAAGAUGUGAGUUGGGAAGUGAAAAAAGGCGAGAAAAUUGGACUGGUUGGAGUAAAUGCAGCAGGGAAAACGACCCGGUUGAGAAUUAUAACGGGACAAGAAGAACCCGAUUCGGGGAACGUUAUAAAGGCCAAAUCAAACAUGAAAAAUGCAUUUUUGAACCAAGAAUUUGAGGUUUCGAUGAGCAGGACGGUGAGGGAGGAGUUUUUGAGUGCUUUUAAAGAAGAAAUGGAGAUUUCUGACUGGUUAGAGAGGGUACAGAAGGCGAUAGAAGGGGCUACCGAGGAUUUGGAGUUGAUGGGAAUGCUUUUGGAUGAGUUUGAUUUGUUGCAGAGGAGGGCUCAGGCUGUGAAUUUGGAUGAGGUUGAUGCUAAGGUUAGAAAGUUGAUGCCAGAGCUUGGGUUUUCCCCCGAGGAUUCCGAUAGCUCUGGGCUUCAUUUUCUUUCCACAACACGAAGGAAACAAAACUUGUUUGCACCACCCAUUUCCAACAAGCUUAUCCACCCUCCACUACUCCAUGCUCCCCCUUUGCUUCCUUCCAUAUCCAGAAUCAAUGGAAAGAUGAAAGCUUGCUGCAGGGCCAUCUCAACCACAUAUCCAAUGGCUAUCACCUCUAGAUUCAACCCCUGUUUCAUCACUAAAGUGGCUGAACCUAACGCUGACUUAAUCGGCGAUGAGGAUGAUGUAUUACAGGAUCCUAACACACUUUCUCACCUCAAAACUGAACUCUUACAGCAACUCAAAGGAAUCAAUAGAGGGAUUUUUGGAGUCCCAUCCUCAAAGAAAUCUGACGUUGAAGCUCUGGUGAAGCUGCUAGAAUCUCACAAUCCAACUCCAGAUCCUAUCUUGAAUCUAGAAAAGGUAGGUGGUUGCUGGAAGCUACUUUAUAGUACUAUUACAAUCUUGGGUUCCAAGAGAACAAAGCUUGGGUUGAGGGAUUUCAUCACUUUGGGAGAGUUUUUCCAGAUCAUUGAUAUUGAAAAGAGCAAAGCAGUUAACGUGAUAAAGUUCAAUGCCAGAGGAUUGAAAUUGUUAAAUGGGAAGCUCACAAUUGAAGCUUCCUUCAAGAUCGCAUCCAAAUCAAGAGUUGAUGUAAGUUACGAUAACUCGACAGUCACUCCUGAUCAGCUGUUGAAUGUGUUCUCGAAAAAUUAUGAUGUUCUGCUUGCUAUCUUCAAUCCGGAUGGGUGGCUGGAGAUAACGUAUGUAGAUGACACGAUGAGGAUAGGGAGAGAUGAUAAAGAGAACAUCUUCAUAUUAGAAAGAUCAGAAGAAGACACAGUCUAGCUGCCAUUAUACGCAUCAAUUUGUUGACAUAAAAUUCUGUUUUUCAUUUCAUACAAGUUGAUGAUGGACAAUGAGCUUGGAAAGAAGAUCAACGGAGGUUCAUGAAAGAAUAUUUCGUCAAAGAAUAUUUCCUGUUCACUUGUCUUUUCUUGCAUCAUUUUUUCUUGGUCCUGGUGAUGGUCAUUGAAGUGGUAUCAUCUGCAAGAUCCACCGUCUUGAUUAAGGAUGCUAAAGAUUUCUCAUCUUUGGAUUCGGAAUCCAAUGAGCUGAGCAUUUCAACCAUGAGUUUUUUGUAUUCCUUUUUGGUCUUGGCUUGAGCUAACAUCGCACUAGCUGUCGACUUUGCUUGAAGGAAUUUUGCUGUGGUUUGAUCCGGGGCUACAGACUUACAUAAUCUUGGAUUCUUUUUGAAAAUUGAAUCAUAUUUUUCAUCAUUAAAUUUGUCCCACCAUUUAGCCCUAUAGUUCCGAACUAGUAAUGGAAUUCCAGUAUAUUGAUCUUGCUCAUAAGAAUAAUUCCAUGAAACAAUCCAAGAAAUGCGCAGUUUUGAGAAAAAAUAGAUUGUCCUGUAAAUAUGUUUUUGGUCUGGUUCAGGCUAAAAUUUGUCAAAGAAUUUGGGCCAUAAGUUUUGAAUU